GUCAACGGAAGUAAGACUCGUAAACAAAAUUAAACUGAAUAAAGUUUAUACUUUAUCUCCCUUGGACAAGUAUUUGAAAAUUAAAGACAGCAUUGUUGUUCAAAGGGAGAGUUCAAAAUCGACUGGAUUAUCAGAAGUUGAACACGAAAUUGAAUCAAAUGUUACUUGUAUUCAGUCUUACAAAGAAGAAGGUA